GCUGGGCAUGGUGGCUCAUGCCUGUAAUCCCAGCACUUUGGGAGGCAGAGGUGGGUGGAUCGCUUGAGGCCAGGAGUUCGAGACCAGCCUGGCCAACAUGGUGAAACCCCAUCUCUA
rnacentral:SRP_RNA from 2 species